rnacentral:lncRNA from 1 species
CUGCCUCUUCCUGUGGAACCUGGGAUUCAAAGGGUGGGCCGGAAGUGCUCUAGCCAGGGGACUCUGGCCUUAUGGAGGAUCCCUGUUUCCUCCUUUUUUUUUUUUAAACCCUUUUCACCUAAUAAAACCCUGCUUUUCUCACCCUUUAAACUGUCUAUGAGCCUAAAUUUUCAUGGCCGUGGGACAGACAAGAACCCCAUCUUUGCUAAACCAAGGAAAAGUCCUGCAACAUUUUUGGCACGCAGAGUGGGGGCUGGAGAGGAGGCCAUCAAAUUCCAAACAGGCAACCAGAGCCUCUGAAGAUGGCCCCUUCUUCUGGGGAUCCUCACAUAGGCCUCGGAGGAAGCUCUGACUGCCGUUUCCCCAAAACAGCGCCCCCGUCUGCAGAAAGUGGUUAAGAUCAGAUUUGUCUUUUGAAAGAGCAUCUCUCAACCUAGUGUGUCUGGAAUUGGUGGGUUCUUGGUCUCGCUGACUUCAAGAAUGAAGCCGCGG